rnacentral:misc_RNA from 1 species
GCCUUUCCUGAAUUUUGUUGUCUAGUAAUUUCAGGCUUGCGACUUUCCUGAAUUGAACAUUACACAGCAGUCUGCGGCCAUCAAAUUUGGGUUCAUAUUAGACUCAGAAAAGCUUCAAGCAAAGAAGUUUAUAUUUUGUUCAAUCAUUAUAAAUUUUCACUUAUUAAAUGUAGAAUUGUAGAGGAACAAAUAGAGGUACUAUGAGGAAGGUGAAUGAGAUGUUUU